GAUGAACGCUGGCGGCGUGCCUAAUACAUGCAAGUCGAGCGAACAGACGAGGAGCUUGCUCCUCUGACGUUAGCGGCGGACGGGUGAGUAACACGUGGAUAACCUACCUAUAAGACUGGGAUAACUUCGGGAAACCGGAGCUAAUACCGGAUAAUAUAUUGAACCGCAUGGUUCAAUAGUGAAAGACGGUUGUGCUGUCACUUAUAGAUGGAUCCGCGCCGCAUUAGCUAGUUGGUAAGGUAACGGCUUACCAAGGCAACGAUGCGUAGCCGACCUGAGAGGGUGAUCGGCCACACUGGAACUGAGACACGGUCCAGACUCCUACGGGAGGCAGCAGUAGGGAAUCCUCCGCAAUGGGCGAAAGCUUGACGGAGCAACGCCGCGUGAGUGCUGAUGGUCUUCGGAUCGUAAAACUCUGUUAUUAGGGAAGAACAAAUGUGUAAGUACCUAUGCACGUCUUGACGGUACCUAAUCAGAAAGCCACGGCUAACUACGUG
rnacentral:rRNA from 1 species